rnacentral:rRNA from 1 species
UACGUAGGGCGCAAGCGUUGUCCGGAAUUAUUGGGCGUAAAGAGCUCGUAGGCGGCUUGUCACGUCGGGUGUGAAAGCCCGGGGCUUAACCCCGGGUCUGCAUUCGAUACGGGCUAGCUAGAGUGUGGUAGGGGAGAUCGGAAUUCCUGGUGUAGCGGUGAAAUGCGCAGAUAUCGGGAAGAACACCCGUGGCGAGGGCGGUUCUCUGGGACGGUACUGACGCUGAGACGCGAAAGCGUGGGGAGCGAACAGG